rnacentral:rRNA from 1 species
CCUACGGGCGGCUGCAGUGAGGAAUAUUGGUCAAUGGUCGGGAGACUGAACCAGCCAAGCCGCGUGAGGGAUGAAGGUACAGAGUAUCGUAAACCUCUUUUGUCAGGGAACAAAGGCGGGGACGUGUCUCCGGAUGAGUGUACCUGAAGAAAAAGCAUAGGCUAACUCCGGGCCAGCAGCCGCGGUAAUACGGAGGAUGCGAGCGUUAUCUGGAUUUAUUGGGUUUAAAGGGUGCGCAGGCGGUCUGUUAAGUUAGCGGUAAAAGCCCGGGGCUCAACCCCGGCCCGCCGUUGAAACUGGCAGUCUCGAGUUGGAGAGAAGUAUGCGGAAUGCGCGGUGUAGCGGUGAAAUGCAUAGAUAUCGCGCAGAACUCCGAUUGCGAAGGCAGCAUGCCGGCUCCACACUGACGCUGAGGCACGAAAGCGUGGGUAUCGAACAGGAUUAGAUACCCCUGUAGUC